ACAUGUGUUUGUAUAUACGUGUGUGUGUGUGUAUAUAUAAAUAUAAAACAUAAAAUUUGCCACUUUUAAACCAUUAAGUAUACAUUCUAGUGGCAUUAAUUAUGUUCAGUGUUUGCAACCAUUACCAUAUUUCCAAAUUUUUCAUCCCCUAAACAGAAACUCUGGACCCAAUAAGCAGUAAGACUAUUCCUUCCCCGAGUGAGUUGUCGUGGCAUCUGUCAAAUAUCAUUUGCUCUAAAUGCAUAGGUUUAUUUCUGAAUUCCCAAUUCUCCUCCAUCACUGUGUACGUCCAUCAGUAUGCCAGUCCCACAGUCUUGAUGGCUGUAGCUCAGAAGUAGCUUUUAAGAUCAGGCAGUGUAAGUCUUCCAGCUUUGUUCUUAUUUAACGUUGUCCGGCCUAUUCUGGGACCCUUUCACUUCCAUAUGAACUUCAGGAGCAGCCUGUCAAUUUCUGCAAGAAAGGGUGGUGGAAUUUUGAUAGAGACUGUUGAAUCUGCAGAUCAACAGAUCUGGCAGUACUGCCAUCUUGUCAAUAUUAAGUUCUAAUCCACGAACAUGGGUGUAUUCCCACUUAUUCAGGUCUUCUUUAAUCUCUUUCAGCAAUAUUUUGUAAGUUUCAGUGUACAAGCCUUGCAUGUUUUGUUAAAUUUAUUAUUUUAUUCUUUUUGACACGAUUAUAAAUGGAAUUGUUUUCUUCAUUUCAGUUUUUCAGAUUCUUUAUUACCAGUGUGUAGAAAUGUGACUGAUUUCUGUAUAUCGACCCUGUAUCCCAAAACCUUGCUGAACUUGUUUAUAAGCUCCCAUGGUUUUUGUUUGUUUGUUUGUUUUGUGGAUUCCUUGGGUUACUCUAUGCAAGGCCAUGUUAUCUGCAAACAGAGAUAGUUUUACUUCUUCCCUUCUAAUCUAGAUGCUUUUUCUUUCUUUUUCCUGCCUAACUUCCCCGGCUAGGACAUCUGGUACAGUGUUGAAUGGAAGUGGUGAGAGUGGACGUCCUGGUUUUGUCCCUAACGCUAGGGGAAAAGCUUUCAGUGUGAAUAUGAUGUUAGCUGUGGGUCUUCUGCAGAUGUCGCUCAUCAAGACGAGCAAAUUCCCCUCUAUUUCUAGUUUUUAUCAUGUAAAAUAGUAAGACUUUCCUGUGUAAAAAUUAUAUUGGAUUUGAGAGAUUCCAGAAUCAUUUCAUGAAAAGACUGUAAGCAUUUGAUUUUUUUUUUAAAUGAAAUUUAUAGCUGGGUCCAAAAAAGUUCAAAAUAGCCCAGAGGUUGACCUGGUGCCUCUCAUUGGGCUGUUUUUAUAGCUUUGUUCACAGUGUGGAUUAAAUUUGGGUAAGCAUUUAAAAACCAGUAAAAGUACCAAGAAUCUCUAAUUUACCUGACAGAUGAUUCUGUCUCAGGAAUUAGACAUGUAAACUAAAACACAUUUUUAUCAGAUUUAAACAAGGGGACCACACAUACUUUACUUGCAUCAGGGAAUCCAUCUUUAAAAGUAACUCUGAGUGGGGUAAGGCAUAGCUCAGUGGUAGAAUGUGUGCCUAGCAUGCACAAGGUCCUGGGUUCAAUCCCCAGUACCUCCAUUAAAAUAAAUAAAUAAAAACCUAAUUAUUCCCCCCACCCCAAGAAAAGAAUAAAAAAAAAAAAAGUAAAUCUGGUAACUCCUUUCAGAGCUUCAGUGAAGCUGGAAGGAGGAAUGAGUGUACCUUAAAAGCUUUGUUGGUGUCCGCAGGCAUGGCCAUGGCUGCUCCAGUCAUCUGUUCCUGCAUCAUCCGUGACUGGUCAGCCGCUGCAGCGUAACACACAGUACCGUGAGUGCCCGGGCUCAGCCAGCACCCAGGACCCUCAGGGAGGAAGGGUCCUUACAUAGCACUUACAGAUGCUUGCUUGGCAGUGUGUUAGAGAAUGUAUGUGACGGGUCACUGGCUGGCCCUACCAUGCCCUCUGUGACCCUGGAAAGUCACUUUACCUCUCCUGAAAAAUGGACAUUAUAACAGUAGGGUGAUAACAGGAGAAGAAAAGUAACUGAAGGAAGCUCUAAACUUUAUUUCAAAUUGAAAUAACAAUAACUACAGCCAUUGGUUACUGAGCAAGUCCUACAUGCCAGCUACUUCACUAAGUACUUUGUGUAUCUACCUCGUUACUCCUAGCAACAAGCCCAGGAGAUAACUGUUAAGGUCCCAAUUUUACAGACAGGUAAGCAGAGGACUAGAGUGGUUAAGUAACUUGCCCAAGGUCCCAGCUAUGACGUGAGAGAGCCAGGACCACUACUGGCAAGAACUCUAGUCAAUGGACUAACUGCUCACACCCGGCCUUCUUUCAGCUUCAGGUUUACGGCUCACGUUGCUGGUGCUGAAUCCCUCACAUCAGAGGGCAUCAGACUUUGGGCAACUAAAUAUUGACCCCGUGAUGGCGAAGGAGAAUUCAGAUCCUCAGUUGGACCCUGGGAUUUUUAAGGAUCUUUCUGAAUACCUCAGAAACUUAUGAACAGGUUUAAGGGAUGAAGCACUGUCUCUGACCACGCUUAUAAACAGCAAGGCAACAUGACCAAUCUGGCUCUGGCCUGGACGAUUCGUCUAUCAAAGUAUUUGCUUAUUAAACCUGAUGUGCUUCUUACCAUUAUCUUGGCCCAAAAUCAGAGAGUAAAUGCUCCGAAGCCCAAACACAUUGAGGAAGUACCAGGAUGCAGAACUCACCCUAGUGAAGCAAAAGUGAAACAAGGUUCAGCUUUCCUGCUCUGGGAGAGCCGCGCGCAGCCCAGAAUCUCCCAGCACCGGGUCUGUCCUGCCCCUGCCACACAACCAGACACGGCUCUGCUCCAGCUGCGGGGUGAGUCAAAAUCAGCACGGGUGACCCCCACUGUCCACUCUCCUCCUCCCGUCCGGCUUCCAUAUUUAUAUGCCAGUCUCUGGGAAGCUGUGGAUAAAAUAAUCUAGAGACACCACAGGAAGAGCACCCCCAGGUUCCAGCUGCUGCAGCAGUGUUCUAAGAGCUUCUCAGAUUUGGGGUUUUAUUACUCUGCUAUAAAAAACAGAAUGGUAAAUAAGACAUGAGUGCUGGAUUUGGACAGAUCUGUGGUCAGAUCUCAAUGUCUCCACUUACAUGCUAGGGUUGCUAUAAGAAAAAAGUAAUAUAUGGAAAAUAGCACAGAGACUGGCACCAGUGAAAAUGAUUAAUGUUAUUAUCAGCAGUGAUGUAUUUUGGAAAAAAUAAUACAAACAUCCACUCCCAUGAGCUCUAGGGUAUUUAUUGCUAAAAAGUUUGCCUUGGCCAGAGUUCCUGGCUUAUCUUUUAACUUUUUUGAUUAAAAAAAGUUAAAACACAUCCAUCUUGCACUCCUGAGCCCCAAGAAGCUAGAGAAAAGAGGCUGAUACAUUCUCUCCUGAUACAUUCCCUCCUUUUGCAAGACUCGUGUAAAAGCCACCACAAUCCUACCGAGGCAUUCUGAGUGGAGUUUCAAUGAGGAGAAACUCCAAAAACCUAUUCCACUGAAGUAGGCAAACUGGAAAUCUUGUUUUUCAUGAGAUCCCUGUUUUAGAUUUUGGUUUGUGUUCUUAUCAAGUAAAAGUCCUUACCAGGAUGCGUCUAAUGUGAGUAGUUCAAUUCCUUGCUGUAGCAUAGGCUUAAAACGGAGGGUCAGUGGAAAUGGGACCUUUGCUG